AUGAGCCGCCUCAGGUUGGAUCCGUGGCUCAGCGCCAGCUCUGCUGCUGAGUUAACAUUUGUCAAGGCUCUGUGUAAAGCACGCGUCCGUGAAUCCAACUCCACACGCACAAAUGAGCCUCCUUUAUGUUGCAGUCACCAGGAGGUGACGCACACCCGACGGAACGACGAGGCCCAAACACCAGCUGCUCCUCCAGGAGGCGCGUGGGGGUGGGUGGAGGUGGGUGGAGGUGGGAGGAGAGCAGCAGAGCGUGCUGGAGGCGGGUCAGGUAGACGCCACCCACCGUCAGAUGGAGGAGGAGGAAGGAGGAGGAGGAGGAGGAGGAGGAGGAAGGACGAGGAAGGAGGACGUGGAAGAAGGAGGAGGAGGAAGGACGAGGAAAGAGGACGAGGAGGAAGGGGAGGAGGAAGGAGGAGGAGGAGGAGGAGGGGGAAGGACAAGGAUGGAGGACGUGGAAGAAGGAGGAGGAGGAAGGAGGAGGAGGAGGAAGGACGAGGAAGGAGGACGUGGAAGAAGGAGGAGGAGGAAGGACGAGGAAAGAGGACGAGGAGGAAGGGGAGGAGGAAGGAGGAGGAGGAGGAGGAGGGGGAAGGACGAGGAAGGAGGACGUGGAAGAAGGAGGAGGAGGAAGGAGGAGGAGGAGGAGGAAGGACGAGGAAGGAGGACGUGGAAGAAGGAGGAGGAGGAAGGAGGAGGAGGAGGAGGAAGGACGAGGAAGGAGGACGUGGAAGAAGGAGGAGGAGGAAGGACGAGGAAAGAGGACGAGGAGGAAGGGGAGGAGGAAGGAGAAGGGAGGAGGAGAAAGGAGGAGGAAGAAGGAGGAGGAAGGAGGAGAAGGGAGGAGGAGGAAGGACAAGGAAAGAGGACGAGGAGGAAGGGGAGGAGGAAGGAGGAGAGGAAGGAGAGGAGGAGGAAGGAGGAGGAGGAAGGAGGACGUGGAAGAAGGGGAGGAGGAAAGAGGGAAGGGAGGAGGAGGGGGAGAAGGAGGAGGAAGAAGGAGGAGGAAGGAGGAGAAGGGAGGAGGAGGAAGGACAAGGAAAGAGGACGAGGAGGAAGGGGAGGAGGAAGGAGGAGAAGGAAGGAGGAGGAGGAAGGAGGAGGAAGGAGGACGUGCAAGAAGGGGAGGAGGAAAGAGGGGAAGGGAGGAGGAGGGGGAGAAGGAGGGAAGAGGAAGAAAGAGGAGGAGGAAUAAGAAAGAGGAGGAGGAGGAGGAGGUCACCGCGGCCACGGAGCCAAGAGGAGCCGGCGCUGCCUCAUUGUUCAGCCAAGAAGCUGCUUCCAAGGUUGUGCAGUGAUGGAGAAGAGCGCGACGGCGCCGGAGUCAAGAGGCACAAACACAAGGACACAAACACACCUGCAAUCGCGUCGUGCACAAAAGGUGGAGACGCACUCUGCGCUCACAACUUCAUGGCACAAACAAAGUCUUGA
rnacentral:lncRNA from 1 species